rnacentral:tRNA from 1 species
GUCCUCGUAGCUCAGUUGGAUAGAGCGCGGCUUUCCUAAAGCUGAGGUCGAUGGUUCGAAUCCAUUCGGGGAUA